CUGACAUCUCUGGAGACUGAAGCUCUUUUCUAUCAACAGAACAGGUGCUUCAGAGCCAACAGCAGAGCAAACCUUCCAAACACCACUCUGCCAAUGCACCUCAGCUCUACUCCUGAGAGACUGGGCAUUUUUCAGAUGAGUGUAUUACUCACCUUGGUCAAAACCCCAGUAUU
rnacentral:sRNA from 1 species